UACAGAGGUCCCAAGCGUUGUUCGGAUUCACUGGGCGUAAAGGGUGCGUAGGUGGUGAGGUAAGUCGGAUGUGAAAGCUCGGAGCUCAACUCCGAAAUGGCAUUGGAAACUACCUUGCUAGAGGGUUGGAGGGGGGACUGGAAUACUUGGUGUAGCAGUGAAAUGCGUAGAUAUCAGGAAGAACACCCGUGGCGAAGGCGGCUCUCUGGGACGGUACUGACGCUGAGACGCGAAAGCGUGGGGAGCGAACAGG
rnacentral:rRNA from 1 species